CCUACGGGAGGCAGCAGUGGGGAAUAUUGCACAAUGGGCGCAAGCCUGAUGCAGCGACGCCGCGUGAGGGAUGACGGCCUUCGGGUUGUAAACCUCUUUCAGUAGGGAAGAAGCGUAAGUGACGGUACCUGCAGAAGAAGCGCCGGCUAACUACGUGCCAGCAGCCGCGGUAAUACGUAGGGCGCAAGCGUUAUCCGGAAUUAUUGGGCGUAAAGAGCUCGUAGGCGGUUUGUCGCGUCUGCCGUGAAAGUCCGGGGCUCAACUCCGGAUCUGCGGUGGGUACGGGCAGACUAGAGUGAUGUAGGGGAGACUGGAAUUCCUGGUGUAGCGGUGAAAUGCGCAGAUAUCAGGAGGAACACCGAUGGCGAAGGCAGGUCUCUGGGCAUUAACUGACGCUGAGGAGCGAAAGCAUGGGGAGCGAACAGGAUUAGAUACCCUGGUAGUCCAUGCCGUAAACGUUGGGCACUAGGUGUGGGGGACAUUCCACGUUUUCCGCGCCGUAGCUAACGCAUUAAGUGCCCCGCCUGGGGAGUACGGCCGCAAGGCAAAACUCAAAUGAAUUGACGG
rnacentral:rRNA from 1 species